rnacentral:rRNA from 1 species
GAUGAACGCUGGCGGCGUGCCUAAUACAUGCAAGUCGAGCGAACAGACGAGGAGCUUGCUCCUCUGACGUUAGCGGCGGACGGGUGAGUAACACGUGGAUAACCUACCUAUAAGACUGGGAUAACUUCGGGAAACCGGAGCUAAUACCGGAUAAUAUAUUGAACCGCAUGGUUCAAUAGUGAAAGACGGUUUUGCUGUCACUUAUAGAUGGAUCCGCGCCGCAUUAGCUAGUUGGUAAGGUAACGGCUUACCAAGGCAACGAUGCGUAGCCGACCUGAGAGGGUGAUCGGCCACACUGGAACUGAGACACGGUCCAGACUCCUACGGGAGGCAGCAGUAGGGAAUCUUCCGCAAUGGGCGAAAGCUUGACGGAGCAACGCCGCGUGAGUGAUGAAGGUCUUCGGAUCAUAAAACUCUGUUAUUAGGGAAGAACAAAUGUGUAAGUAACUAUGCACGUCUGGACGGUACCUAAUCAGAAAGCCACGGCUAACUACGU